rnacentral:rRNA from 1 species
AGAGUUUGAUCCUGGCUCAGAACGAACGCUGGCGGCAGGCCUAACACAUGCAAGUCGAGCGCCCCGCAAGGGGAGCGGCGGACGGGUGAGUAACGCGUGGGAACGUACCCCUUUCUACGGAAUAGCCUCGGGAAACUGGGAGUAAUACCGUAUAAGCCCUACGGGGGAAAGAUUUAUCGGGAAGGGAUCGGCCCGCGUUGGAUUAGGUAGUUGGUGGGGUAAUGGCCUACCAAGCCGACGAUCCAUAGCUGGUUUGAGAGGAUGAUCAGCCACACUGGGACUGAGACACGGCCCAGACUCCUACGGGAGGCAGCAGUGGGGAAUCUUAGACAAUGGGCGCAAGCCUGAUCUAGCCAUGCCGCGUGAUCGAUGAAGGCCUUAGGGUUGUAAAGAUCUUUCAGUGGGGAAGAUAAUGACUUACCCACAGAGAGACUGAUCCCGAC